UAGCCACUCAGCAUAAGUUACCAUGGAGAUUUACCCCAUUAAGAGAACCGUCUUUGUAGGACGGAAGACCCAGGGGUAGACCUGAAGUUACUUUGAUAACCGCAAAUCCUGCUUUGUAGUACAGCCCUCUGGUGACCGAAGGGUUCUCCUUUAAUCUGUCACCAGUCGGUGAAUUCUAUUAGGGAAGUUCCCGAUGUCCAAGUUUGACUUACCUGUUCCGUCGAGACUUUUUCUGACCUCUUCCUUGCACUCAUCAAACUUCCCCUUGAACUUCUGGGCAUCUGUGAACAGGAACAGAGAGAGGCGGAUUGUGCCCUUCUCUUUGUGUUUCAGCAGCUUGACGUCACCGGUUCCCCUCUCCUUCCACUCUGGAGGCUCGUUCUCGGAGGCGAAACGAUAAAGCUUGGCCCGCCUGGGGAGACAGCAGCGCACGUCACUAUCCGCAGAGUGAUGAUGGCAGAUGUCGGUGGCAGCCCGCCGGCGAAUGCACCACCCUCAAAGGAGGAGAAGCCCAGUGACGACCUCCCCGGGGACUCCUGCAAUGAUGAUGUAAAGUCUGAUGUGAACUGAGGCUGGCUCUGACCCCAGCAUGUUCCCCUACAUCAAAGAGGACCUCUUCACUUCCAACAGCUACAAAAUGGAAAUCAGGAACCUGCCCAAGUGCUUCGGCUUUACACGAUCUGAAGAAGUUCCUGGCCAAGCAGGGUGUCAACCCACACAUACUGUAAUCAAGCUGUUCGGCAAGCAUCUGUUCGCCUUCGUCGCCUUGGAGAACAAGGGUAUAAAAAACAACAGAAAUAAGAUGGUAAAUUUUCUUAAUUAACCGAUUGCGACAAAAUAUGUCUGAUGAAACUGUGGAAUGCUUAAUAAAAGUUGUGUAUUAAAAAAUUA